CAUGUGCCAGAUUAUGAAUCUCUCUGUGAACCCGAAAUUCCCCUAAAAGGUUUCUAUGAAAACAAAAAAUGGUUUCAUUUGAGAGAAGCUACAGUUACGGUGCAGGUGAUGAAGAAUAUGAGGAAAAGCGACUAAGGAAGAGAUCUAAAAGCAACUCCAUCUUUGCCUCAGCUUGGAGUCUUUUGGUUGGCAAUGAAAACAACGAGACUGUUCAAGAUGCCGAAGAUACACCUGACACUGCACAAGAGCCCAAAAGAGAGGGUCUCACACACGAAGAUGCAUGGAUGCAAGGCUCAUACACUGCUCUAGCUUUUCUGUUCAUACUCUUAACUGUUUGCAUAUUCGUUGCCGUGUAUUACAUCUUAGAGCCGUUCUUACUGCCGUUGGUUUGGGCCGUCUUGGUUGGCAUGGUGCUUCAUCCAUUCAAGCAUGCAACUACAUCUGAGGUACACGACUGGCUGUCUUAUUUGGAAACUACAGGAAUACCACUAUCUGUAGGUCUAGUUCUAUCGCCACUGUUUUCGUUUAACUGGCUUGCUCAGUGUUUGGAGAAUAAUUUCUUCUCACAUUGGAAGAUGUUUCUUGGUGUCUUUGUAUGUAUUAUAUCGAUUGUGAUUGGCUUCCAAUUCAGCCUGCCUGUGUACAUGUACAAGUUGACCCAGUCUUCGUUGAUGCUGUGUAACAAGAUCAACUCGAUUCUGAUGCAUACGACAUGGCUACAGGUUGGAUCACUCGUUGUUGGAUUUCUGAUCCUCUUGCUCAUGUCCAACUCAAGCCACAAGACGGCAUUGAAAGUUCUCUCUGUUUGUCUCUGGUUCAUAGCUCUUCUGAAUAUUGGCACUUACUUGUUCGGCUCGAUAGCUAUUCCUACUGUUUGUGCACUCUUUGUAGCCUCUGUCAUCGCUAGCUGUUUUAAAAUGGCUAAGAAUGAACAUGACAAGAAAAAUUCUGACAAAGACCAUCUUGAAGAAGGGCUACUUGAGAAAGGCCUUUCACUCGAGAAUCUGCAAAAGUUGUCCUCACACAAAAGUGAAUUGAACGUUUGUCUAAAAGGAACAGAAUUACAAUCCGUUUUGGAUGAAGAUACACAAGAACAGUCUAGUGAUGAAAAGUUGGAAGAACUGAUCGAUAGAAAACAAGUCUCAUUCAAUCCAUCAGCUAGAGUGAAGAUUACAACUCCAGUCAAUCAGGAAGACUCUCAAUUCAAUAUCUCAGACGACCUCAACCCAGAGCUGAUUCCAACACUAAAGCGAUCGAAGCAUCUCCCACACGAUGAACAUUCUGAAAACAUGGAGGAAAUUGACGGAGGUGGAUCUAUCUCCCCUCACAAAGACAGCCUUAAAGCUCGAGCACAGAGCAAUCAAGUAUUCUUUGUUCUCGUCAUAGCUUGCCUUCUAGUAGUACUCUGGAAGCAUCCAAUAUUCACGCUAAUACUCAUCCCAUUUGCUAUUUGGAGUAGUAUUAAAUACACUUUCACCCUCGCAGUGGUAAAAAACUCAGUUUUGAAUCAAUUUUCAAAUUCGUCGCAAAGUGCUAUAGACUGGAUUCUUUCUCAAGAUAAAAUAUUGUUCCCAUGGCCUAUGCCUAUGAUGUACACUAUGUAUCUCUUUAUUGACAAGAAGGUGCUUGAGGGAGUUAAGAAAAGUAUUGGUAGUUUGGCCAGUGCUCUGAUCAUCGUGUUGUUGUUGGUUGUGGUUUUGGCUGUAGCUGUACUACUAGUGUUUCAGAUUCAAGUGGAAGUGAUGCACUACGCUAGUGCUGCCGUGUCUGUGUGGAAUAGUACUGUCGCCACAAACCCUCAAAUCACAGAGUGGAUUGGUACAGAAGCCAAUGAGACACUACAGACGACCCUUGAGAAUUUUGCCAAUGAAAACUACGCCUUUGCUAGAGAGAAACUUGCUGACUGGAUCCACACGCUGGUGAUUGACUCAUCAGCAGACACAGCAGUGAUGGAGAGACGUGUGUUAGAACUGUUUGAUAAGCUGUACAACAUGUAUGUGGUCCAGAACACCACCAGUCUGACAGAAGGUACUGAGAGUGUCAUAGCAGAUGAAGGAAUGGUCACAGAUGACAGUAUUGUGGGCACUUUCUCUGAGCUACUCCCUCACAUUGAUAUUGGUACUACAGUCACUGUGUUGAGCUCAUUGUGGUCCAUCCUCUCUGACAACAUGGCUGUUGCCUUAUCGUUCCUCUACACACUGCUGCAGCUACUCUUCAGUGGAGGGACUUUCCUAAUCAACAGUAUUGUGUUCCUGACUGCUCUGUUCUACCUGCUGAGUUACUCUGAGCAAGACUACCUCCCUGUCAAGUGGGUCAUGGAUUUGUUCCCUCACUUAACCCUCUCCUCCAAUGAUUCCACAACUGGUACCUCAACCGAGGUCGGUAUGGACGGGGAUAAGAAGAAACAUGGCAAGACUUUCUCACGGGCAGUAAGGAGUGUGUUCCAUGCAACGUUCAGACGAGCAUUCUUCUAUGGCUUCUACACUUGGCUCACCCACACUUUGUUCGGACUACCUGUGGCCAUUCUCCCAGCUGUGGUGGCUGGGAUAGCUGGAGCCAUUCCAUUCAUUGGGGCAUACUGGGUGGCAUUGCCUGCUGUGUUGGAACUGUGGCUGCUGCAGGGACAACUGCUUUCCGCUCUAGCAUUGUUCACUCUCUCUUUGUUACCUCUGCUCUUUGUGGACACACUCAUCAAUAGGGAAAUUGAAGGUGGUCACCCUUACCUGACUGGUCUAGCCAUUGCUGGAGGUAUCUACUUUGCUGGUCUGCAGGGAGCACUCAUCGGACCCAUCCUACUCUCCUGUCUCCUCUUUGUAGUGGACUUUUAUGGUGACAGCUUCUUUUAACUUUAGGUUGAACUCAACACACAUGGACUUAACCCUCUCCUCCAAUGAUUCCACAACUGGUACCUCAACCGAGGUCGGUAUGGACGGGGAUAAGAAGAAACACGGCAAGACUUUCUCACGGGCAGUAAGGAGUGUGUUCCAUGCAACGUUCAGACGAGCAUUCUUCUAUGGUUUCUACACCUGGCUCACCCACACUUUGUUCGGACUACCUGUGGCUAUUCUCCCAGCUGUAGUGGCUGGGAUAGCUGGAGCCAUUCCAUUCAUUGGGGCAUACUGGGUGGCAUUGCCUGCUGUGUUGGAGCUGUGGCUGCUGCAGGGACAACUGCUCUCCGCUCUAGCAUUGUUCACUCUCUCUUUGUUACCUCUGCU